AGUCACGCUGUAAACGAUGUCGAUUUGGAGUUUAGGGGCAUGACCCUUGGGCUCCGGAGCUAACGCGUUAAAUCGACCGCUGGGGAGUACGGCCGCAAGGUUAAAACUCAAAUGAAUUGACGGGGGCCCGCACAAGCGGUGGAGCAUGUGGUUUAAUUCGAUGCAACGCGAAGAACCUUACCUGGUCUUGACAUCCAUAGAAUCUUUCAGAGAUGAGAGAGUGCCUUCGGGCGCUAUGAGACAGGUGCUGCAUGGCUGUCGUCAGCUCGUGUUGUGAAAUGUUGGGUUAAGUCCCGCAACGAGCGCAACCCCUAUCCUUUGUUGCCAGCACGUAAUGGUGGGAACUCAAAGGAGACUGCCGUUGAUAAAGCGGAGGAAGGUAGGGACGACGUCAAGUCAUCAUGGCCCUUACGACCAGGGCUACACACGUGCUACAAUGGCGUAUACAAAGGGAUGCGAAGGUGCGAACUGGAGCGGACCUCACAAAGUACGUCUAAGUCCGGAUUGGAGUCUGCAACUCGACUCCAUGAAGUCGGAAUCGCUAGUAAUCGUGAAUCAGAAUGUCACGGUGAAUACGUUCCCGGGCCUUGUACACACCGCCCGUCACACCAUGGGAGUGGGUUGCACCAGAAGUAGAUAGCUUAACCUUCGGGAGGGCGUUUACCACGGUGUGGUUCAUGACUGGGGUGAAGUCGUAACAAGGUAACCA
rnacentral:rRNA from 1 species